CGCCCCCUUGCGGCGCGCGGCGAGUGUGGAGGGCUGAAGUAAAUAAAUACCGCGCGUGGCGGGGAGGACCCGUUGGGCGGGAGGAGGUGGGGACGGGAGCGGCCGAGGGGGUACGGGGCGGUCGCGCUCCGGCAGCAGCCGGGCUGUGAGAUGCUGCUGCCAUGAGUCUCCAUAUGGUUUGUGUCAUUCCCCCAGGACAAAGGAGACAUCCAGGGUUUGGACAGAGUUUCUGCUGCUGUUCUUCCACAGCCUCCGUCUCAGCUGCCCACAUCAGAAACAAAGCGAGGCCUUAACCCAUGGCAACUCCUAGCAGCUGAAAGGGCCACCAAAACUGCCAUUAUUUGACCAUAAACACAUAGCCUUACUGUAAAAGGGAGCCUUGAAGACGGAUUUGCUUGUGUCUAGUAAUUUGAGUAGCACUGAGGAGCAGCUACAAUAUGCCUUAAAGGCCCAGCAGAUGUACCUGCACUGUUCAGGAUGGAAAUUUUACUCAGUGAUUUUUGGGGUGGGUAUUUCUUAAGUUCUUUGCACAUCUAUUUCCAGGAGGAUUUGUGCUUCCCUUCUUGAUUUCAUGGCUGCUGAGCUCAAAGAUGACCUGCAGGACUUGAGCUCUACGAAUUAGUGUACAGACUAAGGAGACAUGAAAAUGAGGUGAUGAGGCUUGGAUGUAAAAAGAUUUUUCUGUCAGUCUCUGAAUGAAAUAACACUGUGAGGCUGGAAACAGCAGGCAUUGUCAGAUAGAAGGGAUUAAAAGGCUUUUUAGUGUGGCUUAGUAGUGUACAGAAGAUUGGCUUACUUGUGAUAGAUCUUCUUUUGUCACAUUGAUCUUUAUUUUGCAUUGUGCUUAGUGCAACAAAAAACGGAGGCUGAAGUCUUCUUUCCUGAAUCAUCUCACACAACCUGUCCUUUUUGUUGCUUAUUAAAAUCUUUUUUUUAAACGAUUUUAUUUUUUUUUGCUUCUGUAGCCAAUGUUGAGUAAUAGCUGAAGAAUAUUGAGUUGUAAUAAUUUUAUUAUCACUGUAUGUGGCCAGGUUGGUGAGAGGAAGCUACGACAGAAUGGGUUGCACUACUUCAUAUUACUUUCCUGUAUGGAUGUAUCGAUCUAACAUUAUAGGGAGCUAGCUGAUGAAGGAAUAAAAGGCAAUUCAGUGGUUCCCUGUGUCAGCUGUAUGUGACUAAACCCGUGAGGCGGUGAUUACAAGAUGAUAGCUCCAGUUCUGGGGGAUGCAGCUGUCUUGUCAGGCUGGGAACUAGAAAUGAGGGGAGGAUGAUGUUGGCAGAUGUUGACAAAGAAAAUUAUUUGACACAGUGCAAGACUUAACAAAAGAGGCUGGAAGAAGCUGGGCCUUCCUUUUGCCAGCAGUGCAGCGGUAGGUAUGUGAUACGGAAAGAAAGGCAAGUGCGUUGACUGGUUUAUUGUUUUUAAGAUCUACUUUGUCUUAAAUGGUUUGGUGCUAAGUAAGUGUUUUGUCGUCAGUGCUUACUGCCAUUACUUCAUGGGAGACUAAAACUGCAAGGCUUGGGUCUGUCUCAACUCUGCAGAGGUAAUCAUGGCUCAUACAGGGGGGAAGCAACCUGAGAUCUGCUGUGCGUGUAGCUAAAGAAUACAGCUUGAUCUGGAGGAACAGUUAGCUGAUCUCUUGUGAUGACAAAAUGCAAACACAUGAAUUUUGUUUUUUCUUCUUUGAGAAUGAUUUUGUGCUUAAGUAGUUUAUAGAACAGUGGGUGGGCUUUCACAGACAGACUUAAACUUGGUGUUUUGAUGCUUUGUUUUUCCUUUUUUAUGGCAUAGUUAAAAACACAGUAUCUGAGGUAAGAAAAAAUAUUGCAUAAGUAAUGGUAAUGUAAGUAUCUCAGGUCUAAAAUACAGGUUAGCUGCUGCAACUGAAAGAUAAUACAGGAAAAAUGGGUUUUGUUUUUGUUCUCUUCACUGUUGUGCUGUUGUUUUCACCGCUUACCAUAUAUAAUUGAUUGGUUGUCUCCUGCUGUUAAUAUGGAUAUUUAGUACAUUGAAAUUGGAGGGGAAAAAAAAAGAUGUCUUUUCCCAGAGUGGAAGGUUGUGCCAUGUUUUAUGCCAAUAAAACAGCCAUUCAUGGCUUUCUGCUUCGUGUUCUUAUCUACCAUCAACACAUACAGUUAUCCACCCUACACCAGGUGUUGAUAAGGUGAGUGCUAGGAGCAGGAGAUGCAGCAUAGCUGCUUGUGUCCGCUCCCCCUCUAGGAGCAUGCAAGCAGCACCAGGCACAGGUUUGUAAGCACUUAAUGGAAUAAUGGUAAAUGCCAAUGGUAAGAGUGGUCUGGCAUAAACAGGAAUCCCAGGCCCUCCCUUCAGACUCUUAGGUCUGGGGUGUGUGUUUGUUGGGUUUUUUGGUUGUUUUUUUCCUGAGAUCAUUCUCCUUUGAACAAAAUACGCAAGGGCCCACCCUUCCUGAAUGGCACUUUUGGUAAUACGUUCAGUCCUGCAGCUGAGGUACUCCACAGAAGGGUUUUUUCCUUCUUUCUUUUUUUAAACCUCCUCUCCUUUUUUAAUAUAUGUCAUGAGAGAAUUUUAAUAGAUGUUUUCAUUGGAUUACUUUACAGUCUCUGAUCCUACACUUCUCUCAUUGUUCUGUGUAGUCUGCAAGGAGAGCUGCUGAUCAUUACCAGUUUAAAGCCAGCACCUUUAACUCAUCAGAAGUUUGCGUGAUGUAUUACUUACACUGGAUGUAGGUGCCAAAAGUGACCUGUAAACCUAAUACUAAAUUGGGACUACAAAAUUAAUUUCACUUAGAUUGUGGAAAUUUGACUAUAAAUAGAAUUCCUUUGGGAACUGUGUAAACCUUGACAUUGAUUUAAUGUAAUUGUUUUUCUUAAGAGGGUAACUUAAAACGAUGUAUUGUUAUACAGUUUAAACUAGCACAGAUUUCUAGCAAGUCUUGCAGUAAGACAAGUACUAACAGGAACACUCUGUGGUAUUUCUAAAUACAAGGAUUAGUUGUUGGCAGCCAUGAAGCUAGACAGACAGUCAGAUGUCAUACCCCCUCCCCAAACCUGAUUAGAUAGGUAAAGCUAUAAAGCCAACGUGUCAUUUGCCAAGCAUUUCCAUUCAAUCCAUAACUUGUAAUUUAUAAUACAUAAUUUAUGUCCAAAUCAUACUAAUUUACCCUGACUGGGGAGAAUUUGUCAACUGGAACCCAGCAAUUAAAGGUCUGAUUAGCUCCAGAACAAAAAUAUUUAUUCUCUUAAUAGAUGGCAAGUGAGUGUUUGUUUUAUGCUUAACCUAAUUUAGACUGAAAUUAUUCUGAAUCAUUCAAAUGUUUUUGCUCUGGAUGACAGCAUAUUUUGCUUGCUGUGAUGCUAGUAAUGGAAUUAAAAAGCAUAUUUAUUUUCUUGAGAUGUAGAAAUAUUUUGUUGUUUUGAAAGGGAACAUGUUCAGGUCUCUUUCUUCAAGUUAUUCCCUGAGCAGGCUGUGUUUACAAGUCUGAAUUAACACAUGCACUGUCUUUGCAUGAGAGCUCAUGCAUUAGAUUGCCUUUGCAGGGGAGAAUUUUGAAUACUUAAGCUUAAUUUGACCUAUUAAAACCCUAAUUUUGAAUGUUACACUGAAAGUAAGUAAGAAUACCCUGGCAUCCUGUAAAAUACUUGACAGUGUUUUAAAUAGAGUCAGAAUACUCCGAAUGCUGGGUCAUCUCAAAUUUGCUUCAAGUUUUCUGGCAUCUGUUACUGACCAGGUCUUCUGUAUUACUUAACAUUGUAUUGCCCUGGUCCUUUGCUAAGCGCGUAGGUGCAAAAGCAGUUCUAACAACUGUCUGACUGUAAUAAGAGCACAGCUGCACACCAGACCUUAAUCAUUUCAAAUGUUCUAAGUAACCGCUUACAGACUGCCUUUCGCAACACCUCAUUCAUCUGAGCCACUAUUAAACAUUCUCUUGUGUUAGAAGAGUUCUUAAAAUGAAUUACUUCUUCCAGACAUGGAAUAUAUUGAUAGCAGGUAGCCCUUCUAUGUUCUUCCUCCCUUCUGUAUGCUUAGGGCUAAUCUGAUCUUGUUAGUUUCUUUUAGUCUCUAAAUUGUCAGUAUGUCCUUCCAAGACAGCUCUGCCCUUUCCUUUCCUUGAUGAUUUCAAGUCGUUUGUUCUUUCCAAGGUUGACUGUCAAGGGACAAGCUUUAAGAACCUGCAUAUUUCCUCUACUGUGUAGUUAUUUGCAAGGAAAAGUAAGCUGUGAUGAAUGUGCAUCCAUGCUGAAACAGAGAAUUGCAUACAAAAACCUACCACCUGCCAGGACCUGAAAGAGCUUCUGGCAGCUAAAAAUGUAUGCAUGUUCUCGUAACUCAUAGUAAAUAAUGAUACGGGAAGUAAAUUUGCAGAAAUAUAGUUUCAAAAAUGAACACCUAGAUUUAAAAAAAAAAAAAAAAGCAAUGGGACAGAGAAUCCCAAACUUCAUUAACAGAAAUUUAGGACACCCUGAAUCUUCUCAAAUUGCAACUUGACCCAACCCUACUCAGUAGUGAAAAUGUUUUACAUCAAGGAAGGGAGGUAGAUUUGCAUUUCUUGUUGAAUUGUAAUGUAAUCAUUGAAAAUACUAAAAUAAAAUCUGUAUGUUUUAGAGGAUGAAAUGACACCCACAGCUUGAGAUAGCUCCUGGCGUGACAAAUGGGACUUGUAAGAUAAAGCAUUGAACACCUUAUAUUUGCAGUUUGCAAUGACAGUAGCCAUUUAUUAUCCGGUUUGUUCCAUACUGUAACCAUAACACUGUUAGCUGCUAAGGCUAUAAAAACUUCUAUGGAAUAUGAGAAUGCUUAAGGUAUACAAGGCAUAUUUGCAUGAUUCUGUAGAUGCUCUGAAUGAAACACAGCAUGUUUCAGUAAGAAGAUAAUGUAAUUUAAUUUGCCCUGCCAGUGA